rnacentral:lncRNA from 1 species
CUUUUAGGUACUCAAGAAAUGGCAACAUCCAGAAGAAGACGCCAUCUUAUCCAGCACGUUAUGGGUACACUCUGGUAGCUGCCGCCCCUGCAUCCUACCAACACCGUGUCCUGACUACGUCCACUAGGGAGUUCGAAGCCUUUGGCGGCUCCUGCCACUGCGUCCUGCCACCACCGUGUCCUGACUACGUCCACUAGGGAGUUGGCAGCCUUCAUGAUGAUGCCAAGCAGGCUGGAAGCCGACAAAGAUUAAAGUUGCCUCGAAAUUUUACCCGAGCCGUGCCACACACUCUGGCCAGGCCUCCUGCAAACGACGUAUAACCAGGCUCAACGCAUGAGUGUCGAAUCAAUUUUCAUCUCACGCUAACAAACAGAAAUUGUGUGGGAAAAAGUGCCAAC